CCUACGGGAGUCAGCAGUGGGGAAUAUUGGACAAUGGGCGAAAGCCUGAUCCAGCAAUGCCGCGUGAGUGAUGAAGGCCUUCGGGUCGUAAAGCUCUUUUACCAGGGAUGAUAAUGACAGUACCUGGAGAAUAAGCUCCGGCUAACUCCGUGCCAGCAGCCGCGGUAAUACGGAGGGAGCUAGCGUUGUUCGGAAUUACUGGGCGUAAAGAGUACGUAGGCGAUUAUUCAAGUCAGAGGUGAAAGCCCGGGGCUCAACCCCGGAACUGCCUUUGAAACUAGAUAACUAGAGUCUUGGAGAGGUUAGUGGAAUUCCGAGUGUAGAGGUGAAAUUCGUAGAUAUUCGGAAGAACACCAGUGGCGAAGGCGACUAACUGGACAAGUACUGACGCUGAGGUACGAAAGCGUGGGGAGCAAACAGGAUUAGAUACCCUGGUAGUCCACGCCGUAAACGAUGAUAACUAGUUGUUCGGUCACUUGGUGACUGAGUGACGCAGCUAACGCAUUAAGUUAUCCGCCUGGGGAGUACGGUCGCAAGNUUAAAACUAGAAGUAUAGACGNGNGAGAGCGACGACGACGACGAGGAGGAGAG
rnacentral:rRNA from 1 species